rnacentral:rRNA from 1 species
UGGGGAAUAUUGCACAAUGGGCGCAAGCCUGAUGCAGCCAUGCCGCGUGUGUGAAGAAGGCCUUCGGUUGUAAAGCACUUUCAGCGAGGAGGAAGGUGGUGAGCUUAAUACGCUCAUCAAUUGACGUUACUCGCAGAAGAAGCACCGGCUAACUCCGUGCCAGCAGCCGCGGUAAUACGGAGGGUGCAAGCGUUAAUCGGAAUUACUGGGCGUAAAGCGCACGCAGGCGGUUUGUUAAGUCAGAUGUGAAAUCCCCGGGCUCAACCUGGGAACUGCAUUUGAAACUGGCAAGCUAGAGUCUCGUAGAGGGGGUAGAAUUCCAGGUGUAGCGGUGAAAUGCGUAGAGAUCUGGAGGAAUACCGGUGGCGAAGGCGGCCCCCUGGACGAAGACUGACGCUCAGGUGCGAAAGCGUGGGGAGCAAAACAGGAUUAGAUACCCUGGUAGUCCACGCUGUAAAACGAUGUCGAUUUGGAGGUUGUGCCCUUGAGGCGUGGCUUCCGGAGCUAACGCGUUAAAUCGACCGCCUGGGGAGUACGGCCGCAAGGUU